UGUUGAAAAUUUCAUCUAUUUAUAUUGAUAAAAAUCGAUAUUAUUGACAAAAUAAUCAGAUAAUUACAUAUGGUAUGUCAGUUAUGCCUCAUACUAACAUACAGAGACAAUUUUAUAACAAUAGAAAUAAAUGAAAUUUUUAGCA
rfam:Gossypium arboreum cultivar AKA8401 contig_2510_1, whole genome shotgun sequence.